GCAAUUCACACCUCAAAUUUAUCUUUGGGGUUAGAUUGUCUUCUCGGUCAUUUUAUUCGUGUCUAUAGUAUAGUGAUGCUCACAAGUGACUGAAAAAGGUAAUUUUUAAAAUUGCUUGAAAAGAUGGACCAUUAAGAAGCGUGUUGAAUAUAUCCUUUGUACAUGAACGCAGAAGUAUGUGUCCUUGUGAAAUACACAGCAUGGGUCCUAAGAGGCAAUACAGAACAGUGACAGAAGUUAGCCUGCCCAAAUUUCAGUCCCAUCUCCAACCCUGAUUAGCCAUGUGGCUUUGGAUGGGUUAAUCAGCUUCACCAAGUCUUUAUUUUCUCAUUUAUAAAAAGAGGAUGAUAAUAGAAGCACCUGUGAAAUGAUUUCUUGUGAGAGUGCUGUUGAUAAAGUGUUUAGAAAUUGCCUGGCAUUUGGAUGAUCAGUAGAUUAAACUAUGGCUAUCCUUUAGUGAUCCUUACAAAGUGGAUCUAUAGAUUGACUAUAAGACCAGUUUUGCUACAGAGGUAAAAGUUAUUCAUGGAAUUGAUUCUGCUGUUGGUUAUGUAUUAUAUUUGCUAUAGCAGUUGCAUUAAAGUGAGAUCGAUUUUUAAAAAAUUUUUUUAAGUGAGAUCUUUAGCAAAAGAUAAAAUUUUUAAAAAGAAGGUUUUACUUAUUUACUUAUUUAUUUGACAGAGAGAGCAGGAGCAGGGGGAAGGGGCAGAGGGAGAGAGAGCAGCAGACUCCCCUUUGAGCAGAGAGCCUGAUGUGGGGCUUGAACCCAGGAUCCUGGGAUCAUGACCUGAGCUGAAGGCAAAUGCUUAACCGACUGAGCCACCCAGGCUCACUACAGUUUAGAAAGCCAUGAAAGGUAUACCCACCAAAUUAAGAUGGCUUUGCUGGAAAAAAAGAAGAGCAAACAACCCCAAAUCUCUUUAAGUACUAGGAAUGGUCCAUUGAGGCUGUUUUUGCUGGAUUUGGUGAAUGUUGUGUGCAAAGAUCACAUUCUUGUGGUUGUGGUCAUGUUGAAGGGAAAGGAAGAAGAAAUAUUCUGAACAAAGGAAGAUUUUAAAUUCACUAGGAGGGAGAAAAAUCUCCACAGAGGGAUUUUUACAGAGGAGUCUGUAAGUUCAAGAGAAGUGGUGGGAGUCCUCAUUUCAAUGUUGAGAGAUAGAACCACACAAAAUAACAGAGGCACUUGUGUGGGGAACAAUCCUGAGCUGGCGGCUGCUCGGAUUACGGCUCCACAGCUUUCUAAUCUUCUGGGAUAAGGUCUCCCUACCUACCACCUCUCAGGAAAAUGGCCCCUGAGCCCCGAAGUCCAUGUGUCCUGUGAUGCACCUGAAGCUGAGUGAGGCUGUGGACCCUUGAAAAGAACCCUGCAAGCUCACUGAUUUUUUCCAUACAAAUAUCUUCUUUCGCUACAGAAUCUUCAUGAAGAAGCAGAAUUUCCAUCACCUGUUGUCAUCAAAUAAAUCUAAAUAUUUUCUCCUGGUUUCAUUCAUUGUUAGAAUGCAAUAUUGUGGAGAUUUCUGGUUGCCCACCUCCCCCUCAUCUAUUGUCCACUUCGUCUAAGGCAACUGAAGCACAGUGUUUGACAGGGACACGGAGCUGCCUGGAAUAAAUACCACAUUGGACAGCUUUUCUCUUAGCUACAAGCAGCAACGUGGGUAAGAUUUGGCCAGUGAAAACAUCCAUCAAGAAAACAUCCUUGAAGGACUGUGAAUGUCGAAGCAUCCUUCUUAGCAACUGGCAUGUUUCCAGCUUAGCUUCUGACUGGAGAGAGAGAGCAAGCACAAGCAGGCUGAGUGGCAGCAGAGGCAGAGGGAGAAGCAGGCUCCCCGCAGAGCGAGGAGCCCGAUGUGGGACUCGAUCCCAGGACGCUGGGACCAUGACCUGAGCCUAAGGCAGCCACUUAACCGACUGAGCCACCCAGGCAUCCCUGUCUUAGAUUUCUUGAAACACCUGGGAGCUCUCAGCGAAAGCCUCUGCUGAUUUUUAAGGCUACAUUGACAAGUCAGUAGUAUCUCUGCUACGAAAACCAUUCGGGAAGGAUGAAGAGUUGUCCUGGCAACGGACCUGCGAUGGUCAGAGAGCACCUCUGUGUGAAUGUUAACACCUUGGAGUAGGAGGAGCCCUGAACUUUGGGAAAAUCACGCAACCUCCCUCUCAUUUUUUCCCCAUUCAGGAUGCAGGGUCGGACUCGGUGGGGGGAGGCGAGUGGGGUGAGAGGUGGGAGGAUGGGUUGUGAACUGUUUUGGCAAAGCUCUGCGGCUGAUGCCCACCGGUGACCAGUGCAGUUCUGCUCUAAAAUCCCUCAGGGAUGGUUUCAGGAGGCCACAAAGUCACUACUCCACCAGGGACGCACCGGUAUGGUCCUAGGCAAUUGUGAGCUGUCGAAUACUUUUGAACAUCAUGACCACCAUGCCAAGAAGUUGCUGUGAUGGAAAAGCAGAGGAUGGAUUGAUUGAAGGAGGAAGAGUUGGACCAGUGGGGCCAAUUAGGAAGCCAUGACAGAAGUUCAGGGAGGAAGAGAGCAUUGAGGGAAGAAGGAGAGAGAGAAUCCCAGGGUGUGGAGCCUGAUAUGGGGCUUGAUCUCACCACGCUAAGAUCAUGACCUGAGCCGUAAUCAGGAAUUGGAUGUUUAACCAACUGAAUCCCCCAGACUCCCCUGAUAUUUCUUAACUGUGAUUAAGAAAUCACAUUAAAUCACAAUCAUGAUUAAGGGUGUUCACAUAAAAAGCUCUGAUGCAGGUGAUGUAGGACAGCUGUUUGUCUUAGAGCCUCUAUUAUCUAUCUUUAAAUGUUCUUAGGCUGCUCAGAAUGUGCUUCUAGUCUCCUGUAUGGAGGAUACAUUCCUGUCUGCCAUUAUUCUGGGAGUGAGACUGGGAGGGGAGGCAGUCCCCUCUGCCUGGGGAGUCAGCUUUGAAUAUGCAUACUCAAUCCUUCUGGUUCUGGGCACAGCUCCCCUGCUCUUGACUUGGUUUUCCAGUCCAGAGAUUCUGUGGUUUCUCCAAAAGUUGCUCAGCUGUGUAAGGAAGGCCAAUGACUUAAGAGAUCUAACUACUACUUCUUAUAACAAAUCCCUUUUAUCGUCUCCCUGUCACCUCUCAGUUCCUGGGCCUCAGGCUGAUGUUUCCUGGGUCUCAGGCUGAGGUUUCAGGGGAAACUAGAUUCAUCCUCAGUGCCACUGCUGCUUAAAAUGAAGCCUUUUUGAGGUCUGCAAGUCAAUUUCCACCUGACCAUGCAUGUAUAUCCUUCAAAGGCGUUGCUGUCAUUGCCAUCUUCAACUUGUGGGAACAUCUUUAAAUAAGCCUCUUUGGUGUAGUUUCAGUGGGGUUUUGGAAGGAGUAUUAGAUGAUAUUUUCAAUCUCCAUCUUUAAGUGAAUGUCACUGCAGUUAACUUUUUGACUACAUAGAGUUUGAAGUAUUUAGUUUUAUACAAACACAGUGACUUAUGAGGUUUAUGUUGUUUCUGAUAAUAUUUUAUAAAAAUCUAUGAUCCUAUCAACUGUUCUUUUUUUUAAAGAUUUUAUUUAUUUAUUUGAGAGAGAGCACGAGUACAAGCCCAAGGUUGGGGAGGAGAUAUGGGCAGAGGGAGAGGGAGAAGCAGGAAGCCUGAUGCAGGAUGUGGGCUCAAUCCCAGGACCCUGGGAUCAUGACCUGAGCCAAAGGCAGAUGCUUAAUCCAUUGAGCCGCUCAGGCAUGCUUUUUUUUUUUUUUUCCAUGCUUUUUUUCUUCUUUCUACAUGAAUGAAGAUGCAUAUUGGAAAAGGGUACAUUUGAUCCAGUGACAUGAUUUCAUUUUAGUGGCAGCCACUAGUUUGAGAUCUGUGGUGAUUAUAACUAUGCCGAAAAGCAGUUUGCCUUAGCUCUGUAAAACAAAACAGUUGUAUUUAUUAAAACAAUAUAUGGUUAAAAUUUUCUGCAUAAUACCAAUAAACUGCCCAAAUAUUUUAUCCUGUUAAUGUGAUUGGAUCUUUGGGCUCUUCCUUGUGGCCACAUGACCAAAAAUGCCCAAUAAUCAUGAAGGAGGCACUGACCAGUGCAUCUGGGGCUCCUGCUAGCUCUUUGGGAGAAGGAGGUCACUGCCCUCCAGGCAUGCAUAACAUAGGAUGGUGAAACUAUGUGGCAGUAUGACUUUUAUUUAUUUAUUUAUUUUUUAAAUUUUUAUUUAUUUAUUUGAUAGAGAGAGAUCACAAGUAGGCAGAGAGGCAGGCAGAGAGAGAGGGGGAAGCAGGCUCCCUCCUCAGCGGAGAGCCCGAUGCGGGGCUCGAUCCCAGGACCCUGAGAUCAUGACCUGAGCCAAAGGCAGAGGCUCAACCCACUGAGCCACCCAGGUGCCCCGUGGCAGUAUGUCUUUUAAAACCAGGGUAAGAAUCCCGAAGAAUUUGGUAUCCGCGUGAAAACAGAGUGUUUUCUAAAUAUAAAGAAUGGAGGGCCACUUGGUUAAUUUCAUCACUUGAUUAGGCUCAGGUUUAAGUCAUGCUGGGCAUCUCAGCACAAUACAGAAGGGCCACUACCCAGAGGAUGGAGUCCAGGGAAGGGGGACUGCGGAGAUAGGCCGGGCUGUAAAGCCGGUCCCUUUCAAAUCAUCCAACUGGAUAAUGAAAUGUUUGACCUCCAGAGGGGCACCAGGAGCAUUGACCUUCCCUAAUCAAGCCUUCCUCUCUGCAGAGUUGUACUGGAACAGGAGGAGCUCAACCGAGGUUGGAUUCUCAAUGCUAGAGGGCUGUAUCUAUCUGUAAGUGGACAUGAGGGUACAUCCGGAAGCCUGAAGCCUGGCCCUGGGUAGACAGCUGGCAGAUUUGGCUAAGGGUUAGGGCUCUUGUCAAACAGGUUAUGAUUUAGGACACGUUUCAGCUCCAAUAUGGGACACAAUCUAGGCAGUUGAAAUAUAUGCAAAUAGCUUGAAAAUCCCAAUGGUGAUCCCUACCUUAUCAGGUUAAGGCAGUGGAUGAAUUUGGGUUAGCAUGUCUAGUAUUGUCUCUACGGAAUUAGGGGUGGUUGGGCAGGAGGCGGGAAAUGUUCCUUCUGAAACUAAGUACCACACAUACAAAUCCUAUGUUCUUUCUUAUCCUCAAGCCUUCAUCUGGGUCUCCUCUUCUCCUGGUUACUUUUUACCUUAGAUUGGGCUUGGGCAGUUGCAAGUGACAGAAUCCAACACAAACUAACACUCAUUAAAACGGGGGCUUAAAAAGAGGAAACUUCACCUGUGUCUGGAAACCAGGGAUCCCUGCAUCCUUGAGACUUUCUCUGUAUUUUUUUAGCUCCUUGUUCGAUGGUUUCAUUUUCUCCUUUUGCAGGUGUAGAACUCCAGCUAGUAGCAGGGGCAGGAAAGGGGCCUGGAGGGACUAUGGGAUAGUCUCACUUUUAUGUUACUUCAGUGUACUGAUUCCAAAGAGAAAAAAGAGAAUUUUCCCUUCCAGUGUUAUUCUGGAAAUUCCUCUGGAAGGACACAUGUGGGUGUAGGAUAGAUCUCCCUUUGUCCCUCUUGAAUCAAUCACUAUGCAUGGGGUUGAGGCCUCUGGUUGACUGUUCUUGAGUCAUGAGCCUACCCCAAGGUUAGGUGGAGAGGAAAUUGACAGCUCCACAAAAUUUGAUUGGAGCAGGGGAGGAGCAAGGGGUAAUGUUCCUUUACAAAGAAGGGAAAGAUGCUGGGCAGAGGCAGGACAACAGAUGUCCUUUAGGAUUCCUAUUCAUCUGUUAAGGCUUGACUCAGGUGUCACUUCUUGAUACCCCCGUCUCUGUCCUUCUCCUAUUGGGUUACACGUCACUCUUCUAGGUCAUGUUACAUCUUGGCUGUACUGAUAUACCCAUAAGAACUUUUAAUUGUCUAGUUAUAUGUUGGUCUCUUUCACUAGAUAGUGAAAGAGUGGCUUAUUUCCAUUGGCACACCUAGCCCUUCAGCAGACAUUGGAGUUCCAGAAAGGUCUUCAAUAAAACAAUAAAUGAAGAUGAUCAUAAAAUGGCAGCGAAUCAUUUUGAGUUAAAAAAAAAAGGAGAAGGAACAUAAUAGUAAAACAAACAAACACACACACACACACAUACACGCAUGCCGGGUACUGUGAUAAAUGCUUCAUAUCAAGUAACUCAUUGAUUCUCAAAAACAUUUGAGAGACGUAUUCUUUCUAUUGUGUAGACAGGAAGCUAAAGGUUAAGUAAGUUCCACAAGCUCAUACAGCUAAUAACUGUCAAUUUAAUAACUAGCACUCAAGCAACUUAAAUCCAGCCUUAUUCGCUUUCAGCAACUCUGUCUUCUGCUCUCCUCCUCCUAUUCCUUCUGCAAGUUAACAAUGAACUUAACAUAACCUAGGGAUGCUCUCUUUACUUCUUAGUGAUUUGGACAUUUUCCCCCAAUAGAUUUUUAUUUUAUCUCAAUGCACUUCCUAGCUUGUUUUGCAUCUUUGUCAUUUGUUUCUUUAGUCACACAGUUAGAGGGUUGAAGGAGAAACUGUAACAUCCCUUCCAGUACCAAUAUCACAAAAUUAUAAGAAGUGCAUGAAACCAACUAAGGGUAACAAGUCUAACAACACAACACAGGACACUCCUUUUAGUCAGAGGCUUUUGGUUCUCAGGGGCAGCACACUGUGAAGAGGUGGGUCUGGAGGUGCCCCUGCACUCUCUCCUGGCCUCUUCCUUCUCUUUUCGGGAUUCCUUUAUUCUUUUUGUUCUACUAGUUGCUCUUUUCUCCUCAACCUCUUAGUCUUUCUGUUUUGUCCAUAGCGUCUUUGGACCCUGCAUUUCAACUCUCUUACCUUCAACAGUCCUCCCCUCCCUGCCCUACCGCCAUCAGACUUCUGCAGAGCAUUUAGUGAGAACCAGCCAGGCUCUUACCCUAGGGCAGGUUGAAUUGCCCAGAAUGCUCCCGAGGUGUUAAUGAGCUUGGCAACCUCAAGGGUGAGCCUCAACUGAACAGAACACUUGAAUUCAAAGAUAUAAGGCUAAUUGUGAGCGUUUUGAAAUUAGGAUCGAUCCAGUAGUCAAUGUUUUUCUUGUAGGAAAUUUCUCGCCUCCUCCAAUCAACCAAAGUGGCCUAUUUGAGGCCAGCUUCUUAGGGAAGAGUGGCUCUAAGAUUCCCCAACCAUCCUGAUCUAACUUCAAGAAUUGUUUGUUGAACUGCAGCUUCCUGGGCCUCACCAGACCUAGCAAACCAGGAUUUCUGGGAAUUAGUAGACAAUCUGAAUUUAAAAUAUUUUCCUUAGUGAUUCUUAAGUUCACUAAAUUGUGAGAAACUCUGCCUGCAUUCUAAUUAUUCUCUAAAAGUUUCGUGCAGUAUUAUCAUUAGCUUUCUUAAUUUUAUCACAAAGAGUUUUAUUUUAUGUAUACCUAUUUUCAACUUGCACAAUAAAUAGUAGAUAUUUCA